GGUUUAGCUCUCCUUGUGUUCGUGCAAAGGAGCAUGAAGAUCUUACAGUUUCUGUUACUCGAGCAAAAGCUCCAGAGGAGACUUCGGGGGAUCAAAGUAAAAACGAUGGAGAAUUUGAAACGUCUAGCAUAUUUGGUGGAACACCUUUCAGGAAAGGUUUUGAAUCACCUUCUGCAUGGAAAUAUCAGAAGGUUUGGCCUCCGGUUCAACGCCAGCAGUAACAUUGAACAUUGGAGAAAUGCAACAGCAAAAAACACUAUGAGUUGUUAUCUUGAAUCUUCUGAAUUAUUGUUGUUGGUUUGCAAGUGAUAAACAACUCCAACUCAAACUCAUCAUCGCUUUUCUUUUGCUAUUUUCUGCGUUUUCUUCACUCUGUAUUGUUAUUGGUGCUUGUAUCAGUUUCUAUGUCUUGGUAUCGGUUUGGUAGAACCCAAGAGAGAAUCAUCCGAAAAUUGACAACCUGCCGGAAGGAAUUUGGCCUGCGACUCGGUGUCUUCUAUUUGAUACUGUUUAAUAUUUGCUUGCUUGCUGCUGAUAUCACUGUGGUUAAUAUUGUGCAGGAAAUUGAAGAUCAAGCGGUUGCAAGGAAAUAAAACAGGUUGCUUGAACUAAUGCAGUUUUUGAGGAUGGCCUUGGAUUUGCUUCCACUGUGGCACCGCACAUAUCUCUUUGUGUAUCCUAAAUCGAUAACCAAUGGAACUUCCAAAGCUUUUGCCAACUGACGGGCUGAUGCAACAAAUAAAUUGCAAUUAUUUUGCAAAUCUGGAAUGGAUAGAUUGGGUGCUGCAUUUUGUGUACAUGCCUGAUAUGUUCUGCAGGUUUACAACCAUGUCUGCGGGUGAUGGAUCAUGAAAGCCAGUUGACAUUAGAGAAAAGGAGAUAGAAACUGUCCUGUAGUGAACAACGAACAAGAUUUUCUCGAGAUUGCUCGGUCCAGUGUUAAUGACCGACAACUAAUUUAUUGUAUCAUUUGUAAUGCUCAAAAGUUGAAUGGUCUAUCAAUUGCUGCGAACUAACAGAAGUUGAAUAAUUUGCAGAUCCAAAAGCUAGCAAAUGAGAGGAAUGAGCAGAUCAGAAAGCAUGGAAGCAUUCUGCAAAUUAGUAGACUUUUGUUCUGGAACGCAUAAAGAUAAGCUGGGUUUGUAAGGGUUAUCAGCAUUACCUUGAACCCCCUGAAA